UUAUUCAAUUUAUUAUCUUUAAGCCAAAUUAAUUAAGUUAAGAUGGUUUCUCUUAAGCAAGCUUUUCUCUUCAUUGCUCUUUUUGUUGCAAUCUCAGUUAAUAUCUCUUGGGGUCCUAAAGUGAUGGCUUUAAGAGACUUACCAAUUGAUGUUGCAGAGAUGAAAGUAAAAUUACUUCUU